GCUCCCUUAGCUCAGCUGGAUAGAGCGUCGGACUACGAAUCCGAAGGCCGGAGGUUCGAAUCCUCCAGGGAGCGCCA
rnacentral:tRNA from 58 species